rfam:Gossypium arboreum cultivar AKA8401 contig_292_11, whole genome shotgun sequence.
GCUAAGAUGUAGCCUUUAUCUGCAUUUGCACCUGCACCUUCUUGUUUAAUUCUCUGCUUCAGAAGCCAAAUGUGUUUGUUUGUGAUGUUGAUGAAAAUAGAAUAGGACUAAAACAAAAAAUAAUAAUAAGGUGCAGGUGCAGGCGCAGCUGAAUGCCAUUUUGGC